UUUACAGGGCGGGGAACUAAUUAUAGCUAAGAAAUACAUCAUUAUUCAGUCAAGAAAACAAGCACACUGUUAAAAUAAUGGAAUUUAAGGUAGACAGAAAAGACAGAAAUCGGAAGAGGCUUCCAAAGAGCUUCCUAACGUUCCCACCUUCUGCUGGAAUUCGGGUCAUAAUCUCAGCAACUUCUGAGUACAGCAAGGAAGACAAAGUCAUCACUGAGCACCAUGGAAACACUGAGAACUUUGGGGUGGUGGAGCAGAAGCUGGGCCGUUAGCAAGACACUGAUCUACUGGCACGUGGUGUCCAGAAUUCUAAAAAUCUUAACAACUACUAUGAACUUUUUUGCUCUAUCAUUUACUGUGAAGUACACUACCCCAGUGGACUCUUCUAACAACACUCUGGAGAACGCAGGGGCAGUAUUAUGUCUCCACCUUCUACAAAACCCAGACUUGGAACUUUCCAAAGAAUGAAGAGAUACGGGGAAGGGGACCAGGGGUGGAGGGGGUGGGUAGAACACACCUGUAUGUCCAUAAUCCGGGCUACUGGGGAGGCUGAGGCAGGAGGACUACAAAUUCAAGGCCACCUGGGCAACUCAGUGAGAGCUGGGCUCAAAAUUAAAAAACAAGAGGCCGAAGAUUUAGCUCAGUGGUGCUGCCACCUGUCUCGAAAGCACAAGGUCCUGAGUUCAAUCCCAGGCAUUUCAAACUUGAAGAGACACCAACCUGAAAAUGCUCAUGGAUGCAUACGCAGCCACUUCAACAUAAGCCUCGUCAAUGAACACGGUCUUGAAACAGGAGUACGGGUACCGACAUGUGAGGAUCUCCUCGUAAAACUCAAAGACUUCGUGGAGGUCUCCGCUGGAGACAGCCACCAUGGCGGCAUCUACCGUGAACUCUAACUUCCACGUGCACAGCUCCGAGUAUGAGUCCACACAAGGAAACCAAAACCUAACAACAAGAGGACAGCGUGGAAAAUAUACCAAAAGUGUGCUCCUCUAAGUUAUCGCAACAUUUCUUCUAUCUGGCCACUGAAACUUUUCCCUUUGCAUCUUGAAAAAUCUUAUUAAAACUCCGCUUCUGGGCUGCCCACCCGGGACCCCUCCCGCCCUCAGGGGCUUUCCUAUCAAUAUCU